rnacentral:rRNA from 1 species
UACGUAGGGUGCAAGCGUUGUCCGGAAUCAUUGGGCGUAAAGCGCACGUAGGCGGCUUCGCAAGUCGGAUGUGAAAUCCCGUGGCUCAACCAUGGACGUGCAUCCGAAACUGCGAGGCUUGAGUAUGGAAGAGGGUCGCGGAAUUCCCGGUGUAGAGGUGAAAUUCGUAGAUAUCGGGAGGAACACCAGUGGCGAAGGCGGCGACCUGGGCCAAUACUGACGCUGAGGUGCGAAAGCGUGGGGAGCAAACAGG